AUUGCUCACUUUGGCAAUACAUAUUCUAAAAUUGGAACAAUACAGAGAAGAUUAGCAUGGCUCCUGUGCAAGGACAAUACACAAAAUUCAUGAAGCAUUCCACAUUUUU
rfam:Canis lupus familiaris chromosome 1, whole genome shotgun sequence.